AUUUUAUAUAUUAUAUUUUAUAUAUUACAUUUUAUAUUUUAUAUAUUAUAUUUUAUAUUAUAUUUUCUUUUAUAUUUAAAUUUAUCAUUAAUUGAGACACAUGCAUGUUUUGAUAUGUUAAUCAUUCACCUUUAGAAUAACUGGAAGUUCGACUCAUAUGUACAGUAUUUGUUUUUUGUAUCUUCAAAAUUAUGUCGAGCAUGUUCAUUGCUUAUAUGUUCAUUGCUAACAGUGCUAAUGGCUGACUAGGAUGGUGCUUUGACAUCCCAAGUGCCAAAACUCGUAGAUAUAUGAACAGUAGGCUUUGCUUAACAAGUGCCAUCAUCAUAACGUCAUCACAAUAUCAUAAUAUUUAUGUAUACUACAGAAUGCACUAAUUAGAACCAACUAUUGGGAACCAGGAUUUCAUAUUCAUUUGCACUAAGGUCUUCUUUGUUUAAAGAUUUAAG